rnacentral:rRNA from 1 species
UACGAAGGGGGCUAGCGUUGCUCGGAAUCACUGGGCGUAAAGGGUGCGUAGGCGGGUCUUUAAGUCAGGGGUGAAAUCCUGGAGCUCAACUCCAGAACUGCCUUUGAUACUGGAGCUUGAGUCCGGGAGAGGUGAGUGGAACUGCGAGUGUAGAGGUGAAAUUCGAUAGAUAUUCGCAAGAACACCAGUGGCGAAGGCGGCUCACUGGCCCGGUACUGACGCUGAGGUGCGAAAGCGUGGGGAGCAAACAGGG